CGCGGGGCGGCCCCGCCCUCCCUCCCCUCCCUCAGGGCGGGGCUGCUCCGCACCUGAACCUCGGAACCGCGGGGUACCGGCAUCAGGUGCCGCGGGUGUGUGCCGGCUGCUUUGCUCAGGCCUUCGUGCCAGGCCAGCUCGAGCCCGGAGCAGCUCUGCUCACCUGAGGCCUUCAGUUGGGGAAAAGCACCCAGGAGGAGAGGCUGGGAUGCUCCAGGCUGGCAGUCAGCAGAGAUCUGGACACGAGAGAAAAGAAAGCAUGCUAAGGGAGAGAAAAGCAAAGAAGCCUCAGUAGAAAUGAAAGAGCAUGGACUGCAGAACAUUAAGGUUUGGGAUCUAACAGAUCUCAGAAAAUAUAUCUUGCAAGCAAAAAGAAGCCUGGGCCAGAGACACUGUGUCCAUGUCUGACUGUCCACUCAGCAUAAUUGCUGAUUCUACACAUUUGCUGCUGCUUUGACGUCAGUGAAGUAGGAAAAAGCUUCAAAGACGUAACUGAGCCUGCUAAAAUUCAAGAGUAUAUGACUCCUGACCAAAAUCACUGUCAGGAUCAUAAUUUAACAGCCAGAAUUUGGCAAAUAACACUCCCAGUCCUUCUCAUGUCUGCAGCAUAAGAUCCCAGCCCUCCACAUGGAUGCUCAUAGGUGGUUUUGCUGAGUAGAGGAGCUGCUGGGUACAGCCACAGGGUCUUUUUGUCUCCUCCCAGGGCAGCAUCACCCAGGCUGUGCACUCGGAUGAGGAAAGCACCUGGCUAUCACAAGCCCCUGCUGAAGAGUCUGUUGCAGCCUGGCUCCCCACACUGUGCAGCCCUGGGAGAGCUGCCACCAGCACCUCAUCUGAGCACAGACCCUGUGUCUGCAUUGCCACAGAGUGCUCAACUCCUUUACCUUUUCC